rnacentral:rRNA from 1 species
ACGUCAAGUCCUCAUGGCCCUUAUGUGUUGGGCUACACACGUGCUACAAUGACACUUACAGUGGGAUGCUAAGAUGCGAGUCUAAGCUAAUCCCUAAAAUGUGUCUCAGUUCGGAUUGCACUCUGUAACUCGAGUGCAUGAAGCUGGAAUUACUAGUAAUCGUGGAUCGGCGCGCCACGGUGAAUACGUUCCCGGGUCUU